AACAAACGCUGGCGGCGUGCCUAACACAUGCAAGUCGAACGUUAAAGUCCUUCGGGAUGAGUAAAGUGGCGCACGGGUGAGUAACGCGUAGAUAAUCUGCCCGAUGAUCUGGGAUAACAUUCCGAAAGGGGUGCUAAUACCGGAUAAGCCCACGGGAUCUUCGGAUCCUGCGGGAAAAGGGGGGGACCUUCGGGCCUUCUGUCAUCGGAUGAGUCUGCGUACCAUUAGCUAGUUGGUAGGGUAAUGGCCUACCAAGGCGACGAUGGUUAGCUGGUCUGAGAGGAUGAUCAGCCACACUGGAACUGCGACACGGUCCAGACUCCUACGGGAGGCGGCAGUGGGGAAUUUUGCGCAAUGGGGGAAACCCUGACGCAGCAACGCCGCGUGAGUGAUGAAGGCCUUCGGGUCGUAAAGCUCUGUCAGAGGGAAAGAAAUGUCUGAUGGCUAAUAUCCAUUGGACUUGACGGUACCCUCAAAGGAAGCACCGGCUAACUCCGUGCCAGCCGCCGACGUAACAC
rnacentral:rRNA from 1 species